GGUGACGUCAUCGCCCUGGCGGGCGGCGACGCUGAGGCGACGUGACGCCGCGCGGAUGCUCGGAGGAGCACGUGACAGCUGAUGAUGUGCGGGGGGCGACAGUCCGGAGCGAAGGGGAACAAAGCGUCGGUGCAGUCAACACUGGCAGUAUCAGCCAACGAUGGUGGACCCCUGCGAGGCAGAGGAGCAGACCAUAUCCAUUGGCCCGCCACUCUGUGCCCCCACACUGGCCUCUGAAGACCACCGCUUGCCAGAUCAGGCCGAUGGCGCCACCACAGAGGAGGAAGGAGAUGCUUGCUUUCAGACGCCGCCCUCGGGCAGCUGCGAUCCGAGCCCUUGCCAUGUCGUUGGGUUGCCGGGUAACUCAGCUCCAGACGGCUCGUUUCCAGACGACUCAGUUACAGACGACUCGUUUCCAGAAGGCUCAGUUCCGUACGGAUCAGUUCCGGAAGGAUCAGUUCCGGACGGCUCAGUUCCAGACGGCUCGGUUCCAGACGGCUCGGUUCAGGCGGCGAUUUCAGCUCCACUGCCGCAGCCCAACAAUGACGAUCUGUCGCCCAAACUGCACCUGGACCUGUACAACUUUGACUCCCCUGCCGCAGAGGGCAGCCGCUACGUGCUGACCAGCCCCCGUUCGCUGGAGGCCUGUGCCCGAUGCAGCGUCAAACCCGUCGAGCUGCUGCCCCGCCCGCUGUCGGACAUUGCCCGGGAGGCGCCGGGUCGUUCCAUGCGGGUGGCUACGGGUCUGUUUGAAGUCUACGAGAAGGAGCGUCACGCAAAGCUGAGGCACUGCAGGGAGGAGAGGGAGCGCAUCAUCAGGGAGGAGAAGAGGAGGGCCAUGCAGGCGGCAGUCAAUAGCUCUCCUUCCUCUUCCUCGAUGGAGCAGCACAAAGUCUCCUGCAGUUCCUCGCAGUCUCCUACACCUGUGACCUCCAGUUUCGAUUCUGAAUCCACCCCUCCAGCACUGUCAUCUAAAGCAGGAGCACCUCUCCAAUCUAAAGCCUGUGGAACUACCAAAGCUGGCUCCUCAGGGCCCAAGCAGUCCACAUCUUCAUAUGAACAAGCUAAAACCACAAGACCACAGUCUGGUGGUCCUCCAGCGGUUGUCCGGAAGUCCUCUGGCAGCAAAUCGUCAAACACAUUUCCCAGGCCGACAUCUAAACCGCCAACUUUUGUCCGAGCCAAGUCAACCUUGACGUCAUCAGUGUCAAAACCGCAGAGCACCGGCACACCACUUAACGGUGGGUUCUCCAAGCACAAUGGUCACUUCCAUCCGAAUGCUAAAAGUCAUUCCACGGAGUCCUUGCAGAGAAAGAUGGAGCCCCCCUCCACCUCCAACACCACAACUUGCACAUCCUCAGAGUCCGGUGCUUCGUCGUCGUACAGUUGGGACGGUCCGCGGGACCACUGGGCAAAAGUAUCCAGCCCCCGCGCUCGCACCUUGGCCACGUUCAACUCUCUGAUGGGCCGUAGCCUUAGCCUGGGGGACCUGAGCCACUCCCCCCAGACCACGCAGAAGGUGGAGCGCAUCGUCAAGGAGGUGAAGCGGCGAGGCCUGAAUGCCGUGUCAGAGCGUGACCGCAAGAUCGCAGCGUUGAUGCUGGCUCGAUAUCAAGAGGAGGACAUCAUGAGCCAGACCCGCUACGUGGCCCACCUCCAGUGGGACAGCGAGCGCAGGAUGGAGGAGCUGCGGCAUGAGCAGGAGGAGCGGGACAAGCAGCGUGCUGUGAUGGAGUACCAGCGCUUGUGGCAGACUCAGGUGUCCAUACGCCAGCGCAGACUCAGCCAGCAGGAGCGACGCUCUGUCGCCGCCAAGUUGCGCCAGGCCGAGGAGAGCGAGAAGCACUGGAAGGAGCUAGCAGAGCAGCAGGAGCGCCAACGCCUGCAGAGGCUGCAGCAGGCGGCGCGGGAGGAGAAGCACAAGAAAGCCUUGCAGGAGCAGAACCUGAAGGCCUUGGAGGAGGAGCGAGCAGCCGUGCUGGAGCAGGAACGACUGCUGCUGAAGGAGAAGCUCACCAUUGCCGAGCUGAAGAGGCAGGAGAAGGAGCACCAAGCCCAGGAAGAUAGAAGAGGCCUCAACAAGGCGGAGAAGAGACGCCACGCCGCCUUGAUCCAGGAGAUCGCCCGACGAGAGCAGGAGGAGCGGGAGGAGGCCAAGAGGACGGCAGAGGAGAAGCUGAGCCGCUCCCUGGGGAACUACAAGCAGAUGGUGGAGCGCCGAGACCAGGAGCUGAAGGAGAAGGCCAGGCGUGAGGACAAGCAGAUCCAGCGUGCUCGCAAGGCCGCUGAGAAGCGUGAGAAGCAGCAGCAGCAGCAGCUGGAGGCCCGCGCCAAGGAGGCGGAGAAGCGCUCCCGACAGGCGGCGCUGGUGGCUGAGGAGCACGCCAAGGAGAAGGCCAAGCGUGCCGUCCAGUCCCGGCAGGAGAAGGAGCGCCUGCAGAGGCUCAACCGGCAGCGCGUGGAGGACGAGGAGAAGCAGCGGCGCGUGGACCUGCUGCAGUCCAUCGAGAGGAAGUUGGAAAAGAGCGAGCAGAUCUUCAAGGAGAAGCGAGCGGUGCUGGAGAGCGCUCGCUCCGUCGCCCGCGCCUCCUUCCACGUUCGCGACAAAGUGCGCGAGGAGACCAACAUGCGCACCUUUGACAAAAUGGCACUGGAAGCUCAGCUCAAAGCCAGCCUGGACGACAAGUAAGCGUCAGCGUUACCUUUUUUUCACCCCAAACUUUCCCCUCCAUCUCACCAGGAAUGAAGAUUUUCUAGUGCAGGAACAGGGUCUCCCUCCAUGGCCUUUAAAGGACAACUCUUGCAGCCAUCAGUCAGGACACCACAACGGAGAAUGGUGCUCCUGGCUGGAUUUGGACUGAGGAUGAAUCACCCACUCCUUGGUCCCGACUCCUCCUUGGUCCCGCCUCCUCCUUGGUCCCGCCUCCUCCCUGGUCCCGCCUCCUCCAUCUUCCUCCAGCCGCCCACAUGCUCAGCUCCCCAGGUGUGCAAGGUGAACCUCCAGGUGUCCCCAAGAAGAAGUCACCUUCCUUAACCAGGUGCACUUUGAGGAAUGAGAUCUUCACAAACAAGUCCAGUACCAAGUCCUCAACCCUCCCCCUCCCUCCAUCCUUCCAAAUGCUCAAUGUUAUCUCAAGCACACCCGUUGAGGUGUGGCUACGCUGCCCGGAGAACAAUCAAAUACCAAAAUAAAAAUGUUUUUUUCUUCUUUCUGAGUUGGAUUGGUGUGAUGUGUGUUUAGUGCAGAAUGAGGGCAAACUUUGUUCAUGUGUAUCUUACUUCCACAAGCCUAUUUGACAACUGCUAUUUUCCCUAAAAUGCUUCAAUAAUUCAAAAUUCAGCAUAAUGGGGUUACUAUGGCAAUAUACUGUAAAGCCCCAAACAAGGAUAUUUAACUACAAACUCCAAAAGCAGUGAAGUUGUCAGGUUGUGUAAAUGGUCAAUAAAAAGAGAAUACAACAAAUCCUUUUCAACUUAUAUUCAAUUGAAUAGACUGCAAAGACAAGAUAUGUCAUGUUCACACUCUACUUUGCAAAGCCACAGCUAUUUAUCAACAACACCCAGAAACGCUUCAACUGAGAAAGUUGAGGAAUGCUCACCAAAGACUUAUUUGGAACAUCCCACAGGUGAACAGGCUAAUUGGGAACAGGUGGGUGCCAUGAUUGGGUAUAAAAGCAGCGUCCAUGAAAUGCUCAGUCAUUCACAAACAAGGACGGGGCGAGGGUCACCACUUUGUCAACAAAUGCCUGAGCAAAUUGUUUAAGAACAACAUUUCUCAACAAGGAAUUUAGGGAUUUCACCAUCUACGCUCCGUAAUAUCAUCAAAAGGUUCAGAGAAUGUGGAGAAAUCACUGCACGUAAGCCAUGAUAUUACACACCUUCCAUCCCUCAGGCAUCAAAAAGCCACAUCAGUGUGUAAAGGAUAUCACCACGUGGGCUCAGGAACACUUCAGAAAACCACUGUCAGUAACUACAGUCGGUCGCUACAUCUGUAAGUGCAAGUUAAAACUCUACUAUGCAAAGCCAAAGCCAUUUAUCAACAACACCCGAGCUCAUCUAAGAUGGACUGAUGCAAAGUGGAAAAGUGUUCUGUGGUCUGACGAGUCCACAUUUCAAUAUGUUUUUGAAAACUGUGGACCAAAGAGGGG